rnacentral:lncRNA from 1 species
AUUUUACGCAAAUUAGCAAAUGCCAUUUCCCAUGAAGAGAUCCGGGAUGGCGGAUAAACUUGUCUUUUAAGACUGCAUCUGAUACUUUUUGGGACUUUAAAGACCGUUUCGCAAUGUUUGCUUUAGCGCUAAGUCUUCCCAUACUUCUACAGCUAACAUUUACGGCAUCGUCAUAUGCUCUCAAGUGUUACAGCUGCACUUACACCACCGAUGUAAACGAAUGUUCGACAGUAACAGAAUGCCGUCCUGGUCAGUUAUGCUAUUCGGACCUGUCAGCACGCACCUUGGGAUGUACAGAAAAUCUAGCCAGUAGGAAUAAGCAAUGCGGAGUAAUCGGUGCAGGCGGUACUUUGAUUGGUAGGGACUUGAUGGAACGACAGUCAUUCAUCCCAUCGGGCUGUCAUGAAUGCUGUAAUACGGAUAAAUGCAAAUAAAACCUGUGUCGUUAUAUGACACUUCCGGACAUUAUUUUUUUGGCAAGGAGUUUGGCCGAUCGCAGUCCUUCUUCCGGACAGGCGAUGAUAUUUAAUGCUACAGAUCUGAAUCAUGGAAACGCCUACAACACGUCGACUGGAAUCUUCACAGCACCUGUCAGUGGAACUUACUCAUUUCAUACACUGGUCUGCGUUAAUUGUCAAACGGCUAUUGUUGGAGAUAGAGUUACCUACAUUUCAACAGAUACGUACGAUCCUGACUCUCAUUCAUGCCAAUCUGCUACAGCAGAUAUUAUGCUUCGGGUUAACUCAAAAGUCUGGGUAAAAUGUACUAGUGCCCCUUCUGGAGAUAUUUUUUCUGGAAAUAAUGACUACAACACGUUCACUGGGUAUCUCCUACAUUUAUAAAUUUCUCACAAAAGAAUUACUUUCUAUGUUUAAAGAAAACAACUACAUUCUAAAUUUGUCAAAAUAUCAUUUUUCAAAUUUAAAAGAUCCUGCCAAAUUAAACAAUGAAACAAAUGAUUGCUACAUGAUUAGGGGAUAAGGUCAAUUUGGAAAAAUGCAGAAGUAACUUAAACAAGCUACAAUAAAUUCUGUUCAUUACACGCUUUUUGUAAUUUAACACACGAAUAUACCACGUCAUACAUGUAUGUACUGUCCACUAGCUGUUUCACGAUGGUAACUCGGAUAUCACAGCGCAUGUUUGGUAAAGCUACUAUUAGCGUAGCUGCUAUGUUAUUUCUAGCAGUUUUUCAGAAACAUAUUUUGUUGUCAAACCCCUGCUUCCAUACAUUAUCAACAGUUCAGAUAUUAUCAUUUUACGAGAUAGCCUUGAUAUCAUUUGGUAUUUGUGUAAUGUUUAAAAUCAUAAUAUCAUAAUAAAUCAAGAAACAGUGA